rnacentral:rRNA from 1 species
GGCGGACGGGUGAGUAACACGUGGAUAACCUACCUAUAAGACUGGGAUAACUUCGGGAAACCGGAGCUAAUACCGGAUAAUAUAUUGAACCGCAUGGUUCAAUAGUGAAAGACGGUUUUGCUGUCACUUAUAGAUGGAUCCGCGCCGCAUUAGCUAGUUGGUAAGGUAACGGCUUACCAAGGCAACGAUGCGUAGCCGACCUGAGAGGGUGGUCGGCCACACUGGAACUGAGACACGGUCCAG